CUACGGGGCGCUGCAGUAGGGAAUAUUGGUCAAUGGACGCAAGUCUGAACCAGCCAUGCCGCGUGCAGGAUGACGGCCCUCUGGGUUGUAAACUGCUUUUAUAUGGGAAGAAACCCCGGGAUGCGUUCCGGGCUGACGGUACCAUACGAAUAAGGAUCGGUUAACUUCGUGCCAGCAGCCGCGGUAAGACGAAGGAUCCAAGCGUUGUCCGGAUUUACUGGGUUUAAAGGGUGCGUAGGCGGAUGCUUAAGCCAGUGGUGAAAUCUCUCAGCUCAACUGAGAAACUGCCAUUGGAACUGGGCAUCUUGAAUUCGAUUGAGGUAGAUGGAAUAUAACAUGUAGCGGUGAAAUGCUUAGAUAUGUUAUGGAACACCGAUUGCGAAGGCAGUCUACUAAGUCGAUAUUGACGCUGAGGCACGAAAGCGUGGGUAGCGAACAGGAUUAGAUACCCUCGUAGUC
rnacentral:rRNA from 1 species